rnacentral:misc_RNA from 1 species
CUCGUAAGCUUGGGCUCUCCAAGCAUUUUUAUUUGGUGCCUGGCUGUCUUCGAAUUCAAAAAAUGGUGGAAGAGUACACUACAAUUACAGGAAUGAUGGAAAGCAUGGAAAAUCAUGGAUUAAAUAUACAGCUAUUCUACUAUUGAUAACAUGUUUGGAUUCUUUGUCUUCACUGUGUAUUUUAAGAUAUUUUUUUUGGCAUAGAAUAAUUACAUGUACUAGUGUUAUUGAACCAAAACCCUAUUGAUGUUACAUGGUGGGGUUUGUCUGCAUAAACUUUGUUAGAUGAAUGUAAGAACAUGCAUACACAAUUCCGGUUUUUGGCUUCAGGUUUCAAGAAAAUUCAGAUUUAAUUAAUAUCAGGGAUCUUUUAGAGAAAUAUGAUGAGCCCAGGCUUAUACUACAACUCAGUUUUCUUAAGACAAAGCCAGACACAAAUUAUUUGAUAUUUCUCAUGUUGCAUUUUAUAAUGAUUUAGAAAUAAUUUGAAGCAAGGCAUUACAAUACAAUUUACAUAUGUUCCUUUCUACUUUAGUGGUAACUUUCCAAGUGUAAAGUUCAAAAAUGAAUUUGUUGAAAUUAAGUCAUUCACCUGAAUUGUUCUUGGAAUGCAUUCUGUACCAAUGUAUUUACUAGGUAUGUAAUAAUUAAUAAUUACAAACAUUGCAAAACAAAUUUCAAAUAGAUGCUGAAUGUAAACAGUCUGUAUGAGACUAAGGUCAAAUUACCCGUACUACAAUACUAUUGUGGGAUAUUUACAUGCAUUUUGAUAUUAGGGUCUUCUCAAAUUAUCAAAUGUAUAUUUUAGUGUUGUGCUCUCAUUCCCAUUCUGAAGAUAUGAAUUUCUUCGAGAAAAUGAAUAUUAAAAUUUUCAAAUGCU